CCUACGGGUGGCUGCAGUGGGGAAUAUUGCACAAUGGGGGAAACCCUGAUGCAGCAACGCCGCGUGAGUGAAGAAGUAUCUCGGUAUGUAAAGCUCUAUCAGCAGGGAAGAAAAUGACGGUACCUGACUAAGAAGCCCCGGCUAACUACGUGCCAGCAGCCGCGGUAAUACGCAGGGGGCAAGCGUUAUCCGGAUUUACUGGGUGUAAAGGGAGCGUAGACGGUGUGGCAAGUCUGAAGUGAAAGCCCGGGGCUCAACCCCGGGACUGCUUUGGAAACUGUCAUGCUGGAGAGCUGGAGAGGUAAGCGGAAUGCCUAGUGUAGCGGUGAAAUGCGUAGAUAUUAGGCGGAACACCAGUGGCGAAGGCGGCUUACUGGACAGUAUCUGACGUUGAGGCUCGAAAGCGUGGGGAGCAAACAGGAUUAGAUACCCGAGUAGUC
rnacentral:rRNA from 1 species